CUCAAAGUCAGCUGGGGCUGGGUCCAGACGCAGUAAAAGUCUAUGGAAGACCAUUAAUUCAAGAUUGGCUCUGCAGCACUUUGUGAAGGUGUCGUGUUGUCUGGCAUCUUAACUCAGUGGGACAUCCUAAUCUCAUACCAAUGGACCCAUUUGCAUCAUGAAAGGAAUGGACAUGCACGGUGGAGAACAAGAUAAAUGUUUACUGGAUGAAGAAUCCUGCAAGACCAAGGGUUUAGCUCUGGAUGUUGCUAAUUGAAUACAUGUAAUUAUGUGAAUGCCAAUUUCUUUGUUUUCAUUGUUUUAGCCAAGGUGAGGUGAUCCUAUUAUAAAUACAAUGGGGGUUUGGAAUCGGUCUGUCUGGGUGGUAUAAGUAGGAAAGCUUGACUUGGUUCUUGGAGUCUAUAUUUAACAGAAGCUCCUAGAACAGCUUUGUGCUAUAGUGUCUUAAAUACUUGUGGUAUACUAUGGUAUAUUAGUAGACUGUAAGGCUAGAUGGG